rnacentral:rRNA from 2 species
AGGAUUCCCCUAGUAACUGCGAGUGAAGCGGGAAAAGCUCAAAUUUAAAAUCUAAUGGUCCUUGGCCAUUCGAGUUGUAAUUUAGAGAAGCGUCUUCCGCGCCAGACCAUGUACAAGUCUCCUGGAACGGAGCGUCAUAGAGGGUGAGAAUCCCGUCUUUGACAUGGACCCUUGGUGCUUCUGUGAUGCGCUCUCAAAGAGUCGAGUUGUUUGGGAAUGCAGCUCAAAAUGGGUGGUGAACUCCAUCUAAGGCUAAAUAUUGGCGAGAGACCGAUAGCGAACAAGUACCGUGAGGGAAAGAUGAAAAGCACUUUGGAAAGAGAGUGAAACAGUACGUGAAAUUGUUGAAAGGGAAACACUUGAAGUCAGUCGCGUCGAUCGAGACUCAGCCUUGCCUUGGCUUGGCGUACUUCUCGACUUGACGGGCCAGCAUCAAUUUCAUCCCUCGGAUAAUGGCAGGGGAAAGGUGGCACCUUCACCGGUGUGUUAUAGUCUCUUGUCGCAUGCGAGGGGUGGGAUUGAGGAACUCAGCACGCACCUCACGGUGUCGGGGCUUCGGCCCACGUUACGUGCUCAGGAUGCCGGCGUAAUGGCUUUAAAUGACCCGUCUUGAAACACGGACCAAGGAGUCUAACAUGCCUGCGAGUGUUCGGGUGGAAAACCCGUGUGCGUAAUGAAAGUAAAAGUUGGGACCUCUGUCGUGGAGGGCACCGACGCCCGGACCAGACCUUCUGUGACGGAUCUGCGGUAGAGCAUGCAUGUUGGGACCCGAAAGAUGGUGAACUAUGCCUGAAUAGGGUGAAGCCAGAGGAAACUCUGGUGGAGGCUCGUAGCGAUUCUGACGUGCAAAUCGAUCGUCAAAUUUGGGUAUAGGGGCGAAAGACUAAU